UACGGAGGGUGCAAGCGUUAUCCGGAAUCAAUGGGUUUAAAGGGUGCGUAGGCGGCGCAAUAAGUCAGAGGUGAAAGCCUGCAGCUCAACUGUAGAAUUGCCUUUGAUACUGCUGCGCUUGAAUCAGGUUGAGGUUGGCGGAAUGUGGCAUGUAGCGGUGAAAUGCAUAGAUAUGCCAUAGAACACCAAUUGCGAAGGCAGCUGACUGGGCCUGAAUUGACGCUGAGGCACGAAAGCGUCGGGAGCAAACAGG
rnacentral:rRNA from 1 species